AAUUUUAAAGAUUAGUGUCUGCUUGCAGAACUUGCAUACAGGUGCUGCACGGCUGUCGUCAGCUCGUGUCGUGAGAUGUUGGGUUAAGUCCCGCAACGAGCGCAACCCUCGUCCUUAGUUGCUAACAGUUCGGCUGAGAACUCUAAGGAGACUGCCUACGCAAGUAGGAGGAAGGUGAGGAUGACGUCAAGUCAUCAUGGCCCUUACGUCCAGGGCUACACACGUGCUACAAUGGGGUAUACAAAGAGCAGCAAUACGGUGACGUGGAGCAAAUCUCAAAAAUGCCUCCCAGUUCGGAUUGUAGUCUGCAACUCGACUACAUGAAGUUGGAAUCGCUAGUAAUCGUAGAUCAGCUAUGCUACGGUGAAUACGA
rnacentral:rRNA from 1 species